CAGCAGCCACGGGAAUACGAAGGGGGCUAGCGUUGCUCGGAAUGACUGGGCGUAAAGGGCGCGUAGGCGGCGAUCAAAGUCAGGCGUGAAAUUCCUGGGCUCAACCUGGGGGCUGCGCUUGAUACUUGGUUGCUUGAGUGGGGAAGAUGGUCGUGGAAUUCCCAGUGUAGAGGUGAAAUUCGUAGAUAUUGGGAAGAACACCGGUGGCGAAGGCGGCGACCUGGUCCUUGACUGACGCUGAGGCGCGAAAGCGUGGGGAGCAAACAGGAUUAGAUACCCCCGUAGUCCCUGUCUCUUAUAC
rnacentral:rRNA from 1 species